GUACACGCUGUGACUAGCAUAUCAAUAAGCGGAGGAAAAGAAACUAACAAGGAUUCCCUCAGUAACGGCGAGUGAAGCGGGAAGAGCUCAAAUUUGAAAUCUUGAAAGGUCACCUUUCACGAAUUGUAGUUUAAAGAAGUGUUUUCUGUUACGAUCGUAAUAUAAGUUCUUUGGAAUAGGACAUCACAGAGGGUGAGAAUCCCGUCUAUGAUUGCGAUUUGUAGCUUUGUGAUACACUUUCAAAGAGUCGGGUUGUUUGGGAAUGCAGCCCAAAACGGGAGGUAAAUUUCUUCUAAGGCUAAAUAUUGGCGAGAGACCGAUAGCGAACAAGUACCGUGAGGGAAAGAUGAAAAGAACUUUGAAAAGAGAGUUAAAUAGUACGUGAAAUUGUCAAAAGGGAAGCGUUUAACACCAGUGUUGUUUUCUGAAAAUCAACCUCUGUUAGCUUUAUGCAUGUUUGUUUAGACCUAAUCAGCUAUCUUGCAUGUUCUAUUGUUUGCAGUGGUGCACUUUUCAGUUUACAGGUCAACAUCAGUUUUUUUUACCGUAAAAAAGUUAAAGAAAGGUAGCUCAUGGCUCCGGUCGUGAGUGUUAUAGUCUUUUUCCUAUGCGGUAGGAGAGACUGAGGUCUGCAGUGUAGGCUAUUUGGCUAGAUACCCAGGUGCUAUGUGAUACCAUUUCAUAAACAACUUGUUGAUUAUGUUUUGUCUAUUGCAUACUCGCUUGUACUAUCAUACCUACGCUUAGGAUGUUGACGCAUGAGAUAUACGC
rnacentral:rRNA from 1 species